rnacentral:rRNA from 1 species
GACAGAGGCCUCAAGCGUUAGGCGGAAUCACUGGGUUUAAAGCGUGUGUAGGCGGGUCGUUAAGUACCUUGUGAAAUCCCACGGCUCACCCGUGGAACGGCUGGGUAUACUGGCGAUCUUGGGCCAACUAGGGGCGACUGGAACAAGCGGUGGAGCGGUGAAAUGCGUAGAUAUCGCUUGGAACGCCGAAGGUGAAAACAGGUCGCUGGGGUUGUGCCGACGCUGAGACACGAAAGCCAGGGGAGCAAACGGG